AGAAUUACUCUGGGGUCAAAGGUCGGAGAAACAUCCACUGUCGCUUUGAUAGAUCUGAAAGCAGGAGCGGUCCAGGACAGCGAUCCCGCUGUUCUUCCUCGUAUUGCUUGUCGCCAUCUUGGCCUGGAUAUGGCCCUAUUUGCCACGUUCUGCUGAUUUGUCUGUGAGGAUUUAUAAAUAUACACAGAGUUCCAAAGAAAACUUAGUUUUGUCUAUGAAAACAUAUCAAAAAAUGGAAAUAUGCAGUCCGACCAUGACAGUUGUAGUCUAUAGUUCAGUUCAUUUUGGUCAUCAACAUCAUUAACGAAAAAUUCUAUCCACGACAUGAUUCAUUUCAAAAACUAGACUGCGAAGUGAGAACUGGCUGUUACGUAUUAAAAUGGAUAUUCAUAAUCCUAUUCAACUUGGACAGCGAAGCGAAAACUGGCCGUUAUAGGCUAUAUUAAAAUGGAUAUUCAUAAUCAAUUUUACUUUAGCUAUUAUCCAUUUGUUUGGUCAUCAUAGCAUCCCAUAAAUUAAAUAAAUUUAUUAUUAACUUUUGAUACUUACGGUAUCCUGGUAUCAUUUAAACAUCCUUUCUCGUGUAAUAUAUGUCUUCCAUUACAUCAAAUUCUUCCCCGUGUCCAAUUUUUGUGCUUCCUAUUAGCAAGGUUCUACAUCCUAACAUUUUUCGAUUCUACUCGUUUUUGGGGAAUGCUUAAAUUUCAACAUAUAAUAGAUUUAAUGUACAUAUUAUGGCCCCAACUCGUAUACCUGGAGUGUAGGCGGAAGGUGUGUGUAACUGUAAACAUUUAAUUAAACUAUUCAAAGUUUUGCCAUACAUUUCCUACAAUUGAAAAAUAUAUGAACUGAAUACAAGUUGAUUUUGAAGGCUCAUCCCUACCAUAUAGUACAGGGGUCUGCAACCUUUUGUCCCUCGCGAGCCAAAAUUAAAGGUUGCGACCCCUGAUAUAGUAUAACCAUGCUUUAUUUAAGAGUAGAAUGUGUAAAUAUAAUUUUUGUAAAUAAGUAUUCGCUUAAUUUUAAUAAUUCUGCAAACAAAAUCAAAUGUCUUCCAGCCAUUUCUUAUAUAUAAAUAGUGCUUUCAUUCUCCAUAUUGAUGUGUUAUUGUAAAUAUAACUUUAUUUUAUGUAAUCAUUGAUUGUAUAUACACUUGCAUGGCUCCGUUAUUCAAUUAUGUCCAUAGAAAUAAUAUUAGUAUGGAUUUGGAAUUUUCAUAAACCGUCCUUUAUCAAACAAUUUUUCAAUAAUAUUCCAGCAGUAUUUUGUAUGGCUAUUAAAAAACUUAGAUCAUUUUGUUAGUUUUUAUUUUUAUGGCCUGACUCAUUUUUGUGAUUUUUACCGAAUCUUGACUGAAUUUUGCCUCUAAUUUUUCCAGUUUGUUUCUGUUUUCAUGUCUACUAAAACACUUCUGAAAUUGAGAUACAGGCAACCAUACCUUUUGGCUUGCAGUUUUUUAUAAAUGUCUCAAAUAUUGAAUAAUUUGUCAUGGGUCAUUGACUUUUUUGUUCUGCUCUUGUAUUAUGAAUUAUGAUAAUGUAUUUGAAAACUUUAUAUGCAAAUGAUAAAAUUGCGUGUAUAAUGGUUGUAUGUGGUAAAUUUUUUUGAUGAUUGACAUCCACCCAAUUGCCCUGGAAAAUAUUUUUGGUUAGCAGCCUUAGGUGGUUUAAUAUAUCUGAAAUGUUUUAAAUCAUUAAAUUUCUUCGAAAAUUCGAAAAAUUUACUUCUCAAGUCAAUCUGUCCACGAGAACAGUAUUUGAAAAUAUAUAUCCCAAGUUUUAUUCAUUUUUUUAAUUUAGAAUUAGUUGGGCAUCAUAAAUCACUGGCAUAAAACUUAAAAUCAAAGUUUUUGGAAAGUAUGAACAUUUCUGGUUAACUAAAUAACAGAUUUUUUGUUUAUGUAUAGUGCAUGCUUAUAUACUAUUAUAUACUCAGCAACCAUAUAAUCAUAUUAUAUAACUGUUAUACUUUCAAGGGUUCCACAAAUGCAGUAUUGCUCGGUUGUUGUUUCACACUACUCGUUGACAUUCAUUUGAAUGUAGAGUGGUGUAAAAAUGACUCUGGGCGACCCUUUUUGUAUAUAGCCUAUUAUGAAGUUAUUAAGCACGCACUAUUAUUAACCUGCACAUGUAAGCGCUCAUAUUACUACAAUAUUAUAUAUGUGUCUUCAUCAAUAAUUGUAUACUUGCAAAUCUAUAUAAUAUAUUGUAACCCAGCAAAAAAUCAUACUUUUCAAUUAAAUAACUUGUACUGCCUGGCGCCGCGCCCACAAUUCUUCCAACUAAGAUGGUCAUCUACUGCCUUUUCAUAGAGGCUUUUCAGUUCAACCCCCAUAAAAAUAUACAGGGAAUUUCAAAAUUUGCAUUCUAACUAAAUUCGAAAUUGAAAGUUUUAUUCAUGAUAGUUUUUUUCACUGACAAAUAUUACUAAUUUAAGUUUACUCAUUUGGGUAUUUGAACACCACACUUCAUUGCAAAAUUUAGUUUGAUUUGUUUCACUGAGUAUUGGCCACACAUGAACAAUGUUGAAAUAUUUCCAUGUGUUGUCCAUAUUUUACAAAGAACAGCUUCUGUGACUGGGCAGUCAAGUUAAGUUGAUUGCUUAUAAUGUUUUUAAUUGCAAAUAUAUCACCAAUCACUAUAUAA